rnacentral:lncRNA from 1 species
UUUCAUUCAUUAUAGGUGUCACACCCAGAUUUAAGGGCAAACCCGGGUGCGUCUCAAAUGUGUGCUAGGAUAAAGUCUCACACAUAUGAUGACUCAUGGUACAGAAAUCAAUGUCACAUCUUUAUUAUAUAAUAGGAAUUCUGUAUAAAAUAACUAAAUAAAUUACACCAUAUGACGAUGACGAUCCUCCAUAACCAUAGUUGACUGGGAGACGACGGCCUAGACCUCUCCGUACUCAUCGCAGCAUCCUUCAUACUCCUCCAGCGGUACCUGUUUUUGACCUGGUGUGAGUUUAGCAAGAGUGAGCUCACAUACGUUCAUCGCUCAGCAAGUUAUGGGGAAUAAUGUGCAUAAGCUCGUCCAAAAAGCCAUCGCAGCAUGAUUGACCCGAGAACCUUCCUAUACCGGCAACUCCUCUACCGCCCUUACCCCUUUCGAGUAAGGUAGUCCUCCACUAGCUUUCCUAAUUAGUCAGCCAAGGGCGUCCCAUUCCACCCUUGUGGUAGCACUGUUAUCUCAAGUUAAGCUCCAUGUUCCAAUUAACAAAGUUAUCUUAUCAUGCAUAAGAGUAAACCAACAAUAAUAAAUCAUAUUGGAACAUGAUCAUAAAUCAUAAGUAUCAUUAAUCCCAAACCAGGUAGAGCAAUAGCAAUAUUACCUAAUAAUUCAUUUGUAUGCAAGGUGUAGGGUAAGCAAAACUAGGUAACCUAUUAGGUCCCGUCAGCUUAACCUAACUGUGUCACGGUGAUUAAUAUAACAUCAUUAGGUAAAAGAAUGUGAUCAAGGACACAACUUGCUUUUUUGGUAUAAUUCCAGGUACUUCUCCAAAGUUGGUGCUUUAGGUCUCCUCGUUACCUUGCUUCUAUUCGUAGCAAUACAUACAAAUAAAAAUAAUAAUGGAUAUGAUAACAUUAAACCAAAACAUGGAAAUAAAUCACACAAUAAUAUUCUACGCGUCGCUACGAGAUCGUAGAUUUGAGAAUCACUAAAUUCGGAGUUACGGUUGAAAAGAUAUAGUUCUCGAAGAUCUAUGUGAUUAACUAUGAAAAACUAGAUUCUUAGUUGAUUUUAUAAAUCAUGUGAGAUAUAUAUUAAAUAAAUAACUAAUUCAACUUUAAUAUAAGUUAUAUCUUGGUUAGAGAUCAUCUUCUAGUCAAAUUAUAAUUAUAGACAGGUUACUUUGAUUAGAAAGAUUAAUCUACUAUACAUAGGGUUAAUAAAAAUCUAACUAUAAAAGUAUGUGAUAUUAAAAAAUAAUGCUUGUCACUGCGUAGGCAAUUUUAUUACGAAACUAACGCAACUUGAACGGACUAAAAUGGACUUAGAAUGAAUAAGAUAUGGAUUUCCUAAGUUUUACAAUUAUUUUUACAGCAGAAAUCUAUUUUCCAGAUUUAAUCCCAUAUAUUAUAUUAGACCAGGGACCGCGGGCACUAUUUUGAACAGACUCAGGGUCGAUUUCAUGAAGUUCGGGACCUGAAUGUAAUGGUCUUUCUAUUACUAUGGAGGGCGGGUUUAUUUAUAAAGACCAGAGGGGCUCUUUAGCAAAAUCGACGCGACGAAGGGGUACGCAUGUUUUCUGGCCGUUGGAUCAAACACGCACGGUCCCGAUUAGAUCAACCGAGGCGCGAACCGGUGCGUAAUGUGAGCCGUCCGAUCGGGGAUAAACGAUUAAGGAUUUAAAAUCCUUCGAUCUGACCCUGCCCGUCCAUCCUUCGAUCAGCAGUCCGGAUUGAAUCGGUGAAGGGGGGUAUUGGUGAUUUAAUCCCUAUCGUUCAUCAAGCGGUCAACGGGCAGGGCGUGUCUUCCUCAACCAACGACCCCCACAGCGGCGAGGAACACCACCGCGGCGGCGCCAUCGCCGUGGCACGACAACCCGACGCUCCCAGCGCCCGAACUCGUAACCGACCGGCGAAACACGCAGAGCAGGACAAAGCGAACUGUAUGGGGAAAACUUACCGGAGUUUAUGGCGCAGAGGGGCCCGACCACGCGGUGUGGCGGCACGAGGAUUCCGGCGAGAAAUUCCGGUGGUCCGGAGCGCAAGUCCGCCCAGGCGAAGUCACAGUCAUGUUCAGCGCGGCCUGGCGACGCCCCUUGACUCGGUCCCGAGGCCCCAAUGACCGCAUGGACACGCUCUGCCCAUGCGCGGCGGCGCUCUCUCCCUUCUCUCGGUUUCUCUCUUCUCGCCGCGGUGUCUUCAACGAUGGUGCUUCGGUUUCGGUGAAUAAGGGUCGCGACUGGUAUAUAAAGGCACCACCCGGCCCUUGGCCAGCUGGCAAGGCGGCCACGAGGUGGUUGCGGAUGGCGGCGGAUUUCCCAGGUGGAUCGCGAGCGCUCGAAC